UGUCGUCAGCUCGUGUCGUGAGAUGUUGGGUUAAGUCCCGCAACGAGCGCAACCCUUAUCUUUAAUUGCCAGCAUUCAGUUGGGCACUUUAAAGAGACUGCCGGUGUUAAACCGGAGGAAGGUGGGGAUGACGUCAAGUCCUCAUGGCCUUUAUGCUUAGGGCUACACACGUGCUACAAUGGGUGGUACAAAGAGAAGCCAACUCGCGAGAGCGCGCAAAUCUCAAAAAGCCAUCCUCAGCUCGGAUUGGAGUCUGCAACCCGACUCCAUGAAGUUGGAAUCGCUAGUAAUCGCGGAUCAGCAUGCCGCGGUGAAUACGUCCCGGGCCUU
rnacentral:rRNA from 1 species